rfam:Ovis aries breed Texel chromosome 2, whole genome shotgun sequence.
UCCCUGGUGGCUCAGCGGUAAAGCAUCUGAGUGCAGUGCAGGAGACAUGGGUUCAGUCCCUGUUUGGGGAA